UUUUCUGUGGAAAAAUCUAUGAAUAGAAAAAGACAAUGGAAUGUCACAGAGGAAGAGGUCUCAGAACGAGUGAUACUUCACAUAUGUUCUUCUACAAAAAAAUUAUCUUGUCGAACUUAUGAUGUCCAUGAUCCAAAGAGUUCAGCAAGACCUGCAGAUUGGAAGUAUCAAAAUCGAGUCUCUACCUCCUGGCUGUCUCUAGAGCAUACU